UUUUGCUUCUUUUGCUUUUUUUCCAGGUGUUUCCUGCAGACAGACAGGUAAUUAGCAUGAGGCUAGCUGUGAGGAGGCCCUGCCAGGAGGUCUCCAUGUCCAGCUUUUAGGUGAUAGCUUUGAUGGCAUUGUCUAAGAUGGGGUCUCUGUGACCUGGAAGGGAAAGUUGGAGGUGGCUGAGGAUCCUGCAGCGUGCACGCAGGCCUGGCAGAAUAGAAGAAGAGUCCUGGGAUAGGAUUUCCACUCGGCAACAAAUCAAGACUUCAUCACUACCCACAGAUCGCGGUUCUGCAGAACUUUGAUGGGGACAAUAAACACCAUCCAAAUGCCUGUGAUGAGUUUUUAGGGACAUCUGUGAACUGUAGCUGCAGAAAUAAACCCCAAACUAGCAAUGCACAAGUUUAACCAGCGGGAGAAAACAAAGAUUGCUCUCUCAAUAACAAUCUGUGUAACUACAGUCCAAAGAGAGAGCUUACAUAACCCGACCACCUCAGACAGCUUGAGAACAAAACGAGGUGUAUUAUGGGACGGUGAGGACAUGAGGAGGUCAACUGGACAAGAAUCUCAUCAGUGCAGAUCCAAUUUAGGCGCUCAGAUGGUGGAUGGUGAGCUUACAGCAGCGGGGUUAUGGCUGGAGAGCGUCCAGUUCAGACUUCAACCUCCUGUUUGUCUUUGAGGGAAACCAGAACGCUGGGCAGCUUUACUGCUCUAUUAUUGUUAGACUUGCUCUGCAGGGUCACCACAUUUUAUAUAAUUUGGUGAAUUAUUGUCAUUAUUAUUAUUACUAUUAUUAUUGUUAUUAUUGUCAUUCUCUUCUUCUCACGUAUUUUUAUCAGCGCCAUUCAUGUGCGUCAUGUACUCAGCAUGUCUUAAAGCUCGAUGCUGUAUAGUUUUGCAA